UACGUAGGGGGCAAGCGUUGUCCGGAAUCAUUGGGCGUAAAGAGCGCGUAGGCGGCCCGGUAAGUCCGCUGUAAAAGUCCAGGGCUCAACCCUGGAAAGCCGGUGGAUACUGUCGGGCUCGAGUCCGGAAGAGGCGAGUGGAAUUCCUGGUGUAGCGGUGAAAUGCGCAGAUAUCGGGAAGAACACCCGUGGCGAAGGCGGUUCUCUGGGACGGUACUGACGCUGAGACGCGAAAGCGUGGGGAGCGAACAGG
rnacentral:rRNA from 1 species